rnacentral:lncRNA from 1 species
AAUUAAAAAUCUGAAAUAUUUUAGUAUCUCAGAAUUUGAUUUUUAAAAAUUAAUAUAUUUUCAUAGCUUGUGCAUAUUUGAAAUGUAUUAUAUGAUAGAAUUUUUCAAAUAUAGAAUUCCUACUCUUUUCAACUAUAAUCUUUAUUACAAUCAGACCUUGUUAUUAUCAACCAUAUUAAAAUCAACUUCAAGUAACAGUCAAUAUAUUUUGCUAGUCCCAAUC